UAUGAGAGAGUAUGUAUAGAAAAUAGCUAGCUAGCCAUAUGUGUCUGUACACCUUAAUGGCGUAGCAUAUAGCCGCAUUAUGGUGUGACGUGAGCGUUGGACGUAAGCGUAGUAGCCCUAUUUGAGUGUUUAAUUUAUAUAGGGGGUAUGGACACAUAUUUAUACACCCGUCUGUCCACCUUAAUGGCGUAGUGUAGCACCGCAUUAAGGCGUGACGUGAGCGUUGGACGCGAGCGUAGUAGCCCUAUAUAGACCCAUGAAUUUAUAUAGGGAGUAUGGACGAGUGUAAAUACAUACAUAUAUCAUAGAGUCUGAGAGGCUCGAUAUUUUAUGGGAUAAAAGUUUUAUCGCUUGCGGCAUGCAUUCGAUUUUCCUUAGAAAUUAAUUUGGGGAAACAUAAGUGUUUUAUUUAUUUAUUUAUUAAUUUAUUUUUGUCCACUCACUCUAACGUUAUUAAAUGUUUUCCCCUGGGCCCCUCGUUUUAAAUUGCCCAGUCUGCAGAGUUCGGGUUGGAUCUAGUAGGAGACGAGGCAUAGUCACCCGCAUUUCUGCCAGUUUUCGCCAGUAGGUUACCUGUUCAACCUACUCGUGUUUUCUUGCUUCCGCUUGUGUUUAGUAGCUCUGAAUACUUUGGGAUUAUUGUAUAUUAUGUGAGGUUCGGAAGUGUUGAAUUAAGAGUGUAAUAUGAAAUUUUCGAGUUAGGGUUGUCCAUCUACAAGGGAGAUUUUCUUAAUCUUUUCAGUAAAUUUUCCUUGGAGGUGGUCCCCGCACGACUUACUCUGGGUUUCAAGGUGAAAUUCGGGGUGGGUCGUGUCACUACAUCCAGCUUAAGGAGGAGACGAACCAAGGAUCCAAGAUCAGUCUACUUCUCUAGGAGAGCCUUGUAAUAUGUUUGAGCUUGCUGAUUUCCACAUUGGUUGGUCUUGGGCAAUACUCAUCUUCCAACCACUUAUCCAAAGUCACCCUCAACCACUCUAAUUCCUACAUCCAUUAAUAUCAAAACAAUCAAAUAAACAUCGUAAACAACUUCAAUUUUGUAAACUACCAAAAAGGUAGGGACCAAAUUGAAUGUCACAUACCUCCAAGGGGGACCAAGUAAUGUUUUGGGACGGAGAAGUCUUUGGACUUAAACACCUAAGUCUUCUUUAGUUCUUCAUCCAUUGAGUUCUGGGUUUGAAGCAAAUUAAAAUCUUUGAGUUGUUUCUGAUUUGGAGCCUUGAUUCCUCCCACCAAAGAGCCUUGAUUCCCCCCUGAAACCCUGUUUCCUGAUUGUGGUUCCGGUGAUGUUGAUAAGGUUCCCUUCCUUGAAAAGCUUGUUGAAAUCAAGCUUUCGAUUGGGCUCAUACCCCUCAAUGUCUUCAAUAGGAAAUUCUUGAGAGGUGGUGGAGCGAGAUGUCGCUAGCUAUGGGGGAGAGACAGAUUUGACAGAAGAAAACAAAAAUACUAAGUUAUCCUUUAACAAAUUAAUAAUGACAUAGGAGUUAACAGUGUUUAAACGGCGUGUACCUUAUGUGAUGUAGUAAAGUAUGUGUUUUGUAAUUUUGUGUACAUAAGUUCAUAGUGAGUCAUAUUUCAUGUACUCUUCAUAAAAUUUUCCUAAAGGAAUAACUUCAUUGGCAUUGAGCCAUUCGACCAACUAUUAUUAGAUCAACCAGGAGUAAUCUCCGAUAUAAGCUAAGAGCGAGCUCUUUAUUUAGCUAAACUAAAACUGAAAGGGAAAACUAAUUUUUUAUUAUUAUUCGUAGACGUAAUCAUAAUGUUCGCAUCUGUCAUGAAAGACUUGCAGCCCAAUGACCUAACGGUGUACCCCUCCACCCGCCAUAAGUCCCACAACAGUGGAUAACAUCAAAAUAAAAUUACGUUGGAAGCGAGCCGCAAUUAACCCAACAGAGUCCAACAGAAAAGCCCAAGCAGAAGGAGGAAACGUUGGCUAAAGCCAACUCGGCCCAGUCCUACCAACCCACAAAGACUCAUCCGCUAAACACUGAGCAUGGUUCAUUUGAGCUGCCUCCCUCAGGCCGCCGCUGAAAUCCUAUUAGGCUAUUGCUGUCGCUUCUGGUGGCCGUGCCACAAAGACUCAUCCGCUAAACACUGAGCAUGGUUCAUUUGAGCUGCCUCUCUCAGGCCGCCGUUGAAAUCCUAUUAGGCUAUUGCUGUCGCUUCUGGUGGUCGUGCCAUGGUGAAGGACAGGGCACGGCCGGGAAAGUAGCUAGUCUCUCUACCUCCGACCUAGAUAUCAACGACCAAAACUUGUUGUAUAUAUUAGAUAGGCCGAAUCUGGUCUUAACUAGACAAAUUACCCUAGACGAUCCUCGAUGCUCGAAACUGGAAUCCAUAACAAUCCACCGUGUCCUCAGCCUUCAAAGCUGAUCAUCCACCUUGACCGGAAGCAUAGCCGUGUUGCCCUGAAGCGUUUUUGCCGCCUGCGAGAAACCUAGGGUUUCUACAAUAUUGCGCGUGAGGCGCGUUGUAAAAAAGAUCUUGUAGUGUUUUGAGUUGUCUCAUCUUUAGAAUUAUUUGAGCUUAACUUGUUUAUUAAGUUAAAAAUUGUAAGCCAAAUCAAGUUCUAGUAGUCACAAUAUCACUUACCUAAAUUAAAAAAUUUCAUCUAAAUCACAUUCUCAACAUUUUCUCCCCACACAAGUACACCUUGAUUUUUUUACUCACAUAAAUCCACUUUCUGGUUUAAAUCCAUUAGGUUAGUUUUAGGCUAUACCUAAACUACCCUCAGCUCUGACUCAACCAAAAACAUCACUUUUUCACCGUCUCUCUUUCGUAAAAGAAACUACUCUCUCUCUCUCUCUCUCUCUCGUCGCCGGCUAUCUCAUCCUCGCCUCUACCAUCUCCAGCGACCUCAUCCUCGCUGCCGCUCUUCUCCGCCUCCGAUUCCGACGACGACGUUGUCCAUCUCCGGCUCCGGCGGUACCUCAUCGGCUCCAAAAACAGCAUCAAGGCCGGGCUCGGCCCCCGCCGUCGUUGACCUUCAUCGGCGCCAAGAACAACAUCCUAUAUCCUUCUUCCAUGGCAUUAGAUCUAGAGAGCUACACGGAUCCGGAGGUUAGUUCAGCUCUUCUCUCUCUCCAAUUUUCCAAUCAGAAAUCGAUUUCGCUCUGUAACUUAGGGUUUCAAUUUUUUGGUGUUUCAGUUCAGAAGCGGUCCGCCCGAUGAUGGCUGGAGGUCUGCUCUUUUCCUUUUAUGCAAAAGAAAAAGGAAAAUUAAAAGGAAUAAAAGGAGCGAGCGACUUGGGUGAAAAUUAAGAAAGAGAGUCCGGAGUGGAAGUGGGGAAGUCUGGGUUGCGUGAUUGAGCAGAAGCCAGAAGAGGGAGAGAGUUGAGAGAAAAAAAUGAGCAUACACGACCCACACCAGCUGAUGGCUCUGGCCGAUUCCAAUGGGACCACUCCGGCCAAGGAGCAGCAGGCUGCCGGAGUUGGCAUUCUUCUCCAGAUCAUGAUGCUCGUCCUCUCUUUCGUCCUAGGUCAUGUCCUCCGCCGCCACAAGUUCUAUUAUCUCCCCGAGGCUAGCGCUUCGCUUUUGAUCGGUACUCAUUUCUUCGACGACCAUGACCUAUUCUUGCUUCAUUUCUUUUCUUCAUUUCGUUAACACAAUUAUUAUUAUUAUUCGCAGGUUUAAUUGUUGGCGGACUCGCUAACAUCUCUGAUACCGAAACUAGCAUCAGGUUCUUCCCUACCCUCUACCUAUAUAAUCGAACUUGAAUUUCAACAAUUGCUAACAUCUCUGCUUUGUUUCUCAGGGCCUGGUUCAAUUUUCACGUAGGAGUUUUUCAUCCUCUUCCUUUUACCCCCUAUCAUAUUAUAUCCUCAUGUUACCUUGUUUUUUUUAUCGUCUUCUUUUCCUUGCAACGUUUUCCUUGCGUGUAUGGUUUUCCUUGUACACUUUUGUUCUCACUCAGUCCGGCUUCAGUCUUUCUCAUGUAAGUUUCCUACUACUGUAUGCAGAUAAUUGUUUGUUUUGCCACCCAUGUCCUAUUAAUAUUCUACAUUUUUAUCUUCACAGUAAACCUUUCUUCUCUUAAUUUUGGAGCCAUUGUCACCUUCGCUAUCCUUGGAACCUUUAUAGCUUCUGUUGUUACUGGUGUUCUAGUGUAUGUCUUCUGUUUUAUCAUUCAUAAUAUUACGGCAUUCCCCACCUCACUAUUGUGGACUCAUUUGUAUCUCUUCCUCUUCCCCUUGUAGUUACCUUGGCGGUCUGAUGUACCUCACCUACAGACUUCCAUUUGUCGAGUGCUUGAUGUUUGGUGCUCUUAUAUCAGCAACUGAUCCAGUCACUGUUUUGUCCAUCUUUCAGGUGAUUUUUUUGCUUUACUUCAUAUGCCACAAUUAGUUUAUUACCACACGCUCAGAAUUUGAUGAUGUGGAGUUCCAAUUCAAAGCACCCAAGUUGCACAAGGAACAUGAAAGAUAUUGAAUCCUUUCUAAAAUUGAAAAUGAAUCAAUUCCUAUUCUAUUAGCAAGUUGUGGUUAUGAGCUCUUUGACAUGUCCUAGAGUUUAAACUCAUAUGGCCAAGGGAACGCAUGUCUUAUUGAUGUGGUGAAUUGUAACUGUUCGUACCUUCUGAGUCUGGUUAAGGCUAGGCUUUUCUCAAGUAUUGAGGCAUCAUUAGUUCUUGUGCAUUGAACAUAUAAGAGUGUCUAGGUUUCUCUAAUUCUGAUUUUCCUUGAGUAAUGAAUUUUAAAUGAUGGGAGUGAUUGCAGGAACUCGGCACAGAUACGAACCUGUAUGCUCUGGUGUUUGGGGAAUCUGUUUUGAAUGAUGCGGUCAGUUUCCAUUGCUCUGUAUUUAUAACCCAUUUUGUUAUGACAUCAUUUGGCUAAAGAUUGACCAUUUUUACUCGAUGAAAUUGAUUUCAUGUGUCCUGCCAAUCAACAGAUGGCAAUUUCCUUGUACAGGUAUGCAGAGUAAAUUAUUCUUGUACCCAACAAUUGAUAUGUAUAAAGUUCAGGUCUAAUCAGCCAGUGUUCUUCUAUGCAGGACAAUGUCCCUGGUCAGGAGCCAUGCAUCAUCUGGAGAAAACUUCUUCAUGGUUAUAGUCAGGUUUCUUGAGACCUUUGUCGGUUCAAUGUCUGCAGGUGAAUGUUUAAUAUCCUUGUGCAGUUUAGUAUUGUUAGUCCUAAUGUUUUUGUUAGCUAUCAUAAAAUAAAAAUCAACUCAUUUUGCUAUCUGAUUGUCAAAUUUUUUGAUUAAAAUGCCGUGAUACCUGGAGCUUUUAUUCUGUUAGGUUGUAAUAUGUACUGAAACCGCUAUUAAACUUUCAUCUAAAAUAGUCAAGUGACUGAAGUUCAAUUUGAAUGGUGUGGUAUUGCCAGAUUACAGACCAUUAAAAAGAGACCAAUUUAAGUAAAUAAAGGUGUUAUCUUUUAUAUUUAGUGAACAAACAACCUUUACUUUGUAAUGUGGAUAAACAACAUUGGCACUUUUUCCUCCCUUCUUUUUGCUUUGAAGUUGCUUGUGCUCUAUUAGAUUAAUGCUCCUUUGGCGUGUGAUUUGGUUUCUCCAGUUACUAAUGCAUUGAAAUUUCUUUUCAGGAGUCGGAGUUGGAUUUACUUCUGCUUUGAUAUCCUUUUUUUUCAUUACUUUUAUAUUAUCUUUGUCAAUCUACUUUUGAUAAGCUGCAGUUAGAUGUAUUUGGGAAACCUUAAUUUUGAGAACCUUUUUAAGUAUGCAGGGGUGCGUGCAUGUGCACUCUUGACAUGCCAGGGGUGCCUGCAUGCGUGCCCCGGGGUACCUGGAGCGCGCCCAGGGGUGCACCUUUGAACAUUGAUAGUACGAGGUAUGACCCAGUUUUGCAAUAGCGUCAGCAACAAAGAAUUAAUGAGACUUGUAACUGAUGGUAUGUUGGGAUCUUCCAUCUUUUUUACACUAUUUUGAAAAUUUUUGAUUUUUUUUUUCUGCACAAAAAAAGCAGAGAGGCGCAAACGUGUAUGAUGAACAAAGACUUGAUUCCGAUGUAAAACAUAUAAAGUAAUUUAAUCCGAAACAAAUUCGAAUUCAUCCGUUUAUAUUCGCUUACCACUUCUCCCUCUUCACAUACCACUUUACGAUAGUUCUGCAUAGAAGAACAUAAUUUAUAUUUCUGCAUAGAAGAAGCUAUACUCCAGAUGACGAUGGCACCCAAGUAAGGAAUAUCUUUAUUUCUAUCUCCGAUCUUUUUAUUGUAUCUAUUUCGAUCGUAAUCUUUUUUUUUUCUUUUUCUUUUUUUCUGAUAGUUUGACAACAACUCAAUCUUAUCUUUUCUCUCUGUUUUCUAUCAGGAUGUACCACAGAAAAAACAGAGCAAAGGUACGUGACGACAUUGUCAUGGACUCCUCUGUUUAGGUGGUUGUUCAAAUCCCUAAUACCCCUGUAAAGAGAGAAGGUAGGUUGUGACACUCCCGACAAAGCGAAGGUAGGCCGUGAUUCUCUGGUAAAGACUCAGGCUAUCAGGUUUUACGAGAGAAAAAACAGAGCAAAGGUAAGCUGUGAUACUCCCGCUCCCGUAAAGACUACUACUAGGUUUUACGAGAGAAAAAAUAGAAUGAAGGUAGACUAUGAUACUCCUGCAAAGACUCAAACUAUCAGGUUUUACGAGACAAAAAAACAAAAGAAGCCAAUGGAUGUGGAUGAGAAGAUGGUGUAUUACAGUGGAACACUGACAUGAAUUUGGAUUCCAUUGGUUCGUUUGAUUUGAAGGUUUGAACAAACAGUCUGUUGCGGAGGAGUGUGACAUUGAUGAUCAAUUUGUUAAUGGUUUUAUUGCCCCAAGAGAAAACUGUGCAAGAGAGGAUAGGGAAGCGUUGGCUUUUAAUCUUAUGAGUUCUGAGUCGUAUUCCGACACCGUAAUCCCUGAAAGUGGCAGCAUUGAGGGUUCUUUCAUGCAAGUAUCUUCACAACCUGAAUCCAUGUCACAAUGUAAAAGUUUUAUAUUGUGACAUGGAUUCAGGUUGUGAAGGUACUAGCAUGAAAGAACCCUCAAUGCCGCCACUUUCAGGGAUUACGGUAUCGGAAGACGACUCAGAACUCAUCAGAUUAAAAGCCAACGCUUCCCUAUCCUCUUUUGCACAGUUUUCUCCUGGGGCAGUAAAACUAUUAGCAAAUUGAUCAUCAAUGUCACACUCCUCCGCAACAGGCUGUUUGUUCAAACCAAAUGAACUAAUGGAAUCCAAAUUCAUGUUAGUCGUUCCACUGUAAUACUCUACCUUCUCAUCCAUCGACUUCUUUUUGUUUUUUACUCAUAAAACCUGAUAGCUUAGUUUGAGUCUUUGCGGGAGUAUCACGGCCCCUUUGCUCUGUUUUUUCUCUCGUAAAACUUGAUGGCCUGAGUCUUUACCAGAGAAUCACGGCCUACCUUUGCUUUGUCGGGAGUAUCACGGCCUACCUUCGCUUUGUUUUUCCUCUCGUAAAACUUGAUAGUAAGUCUUUAUGGGGGUAUUAGGGAUUUGAAUAACCACCCCCGUAAAGGGAUUUGAAUAACCACCUGAACAGAGGAGUCCAUGACAAUGUCGUCGCAUACCUUUGCUCUGUUUUUUUCUGUGGUACAACCUGAUAGAAAAGAUCGAGUUGUUGUCAAACUAUCAGAAAAAAAAAAAGACUAAGAUCGAAAUAGAUACAAUAAAAAGAUCGGAGAUAGAAAUAAAGAUAUUCCUUACUUGGGUGCCUUCGUCAUCUGGAGUAUAGCUUCUUCUAUGCAGAAAUAUAAACUGUGUUCUUCUAUGCAGAACUACUGUAAAGUGGUAUGUGAAGAGGGAGAAGUGGUAUGCGCAUAUAAACGGAUGAAUUCGAAUUUGUUUCGGAUUAAAUUACUUUAUAUAUUUUACACCGGAGUAAAUUCCUUGUUCAUCACACACGUUUGUGCCUCUCCGCUUAUUCAAAAAUUUUCAAAAUAGUAAAAAAGAUAGAAGAUCCCAACAGACCUCAUCUGUUACAAGUCUCCUUAAUUCUUUGUUGCUGACGCUAUUGCAAAACUGGGUCAUAGCUCGUACUAUCAAUGUUGGUGCACCUCCUCGACUUUCUUCUUGUUCUUAGAGCCAUGGGGGCGUCCCACUUUACGCUUUUUGGUCGGAGAUACAUUAAUCAGACCACUAGAAUGCGCCAAAGCCAUUCAAGGAGCAAAAGCAAGCUGAAGAGGAACCAAAGUUAUCUGCUCAUUGGUUGCAGCAAUAACACCACGGUCAAGGCGACGAAGACGACUGCUACGAUCUCCUCGGGUCAGUCCACCUCCGUAAUUUUCCCAAAUUACCUCUCUUUUUGACUCGUAUUUACCCCUCUUUUUGAUUUUGUGCUUCAUGAUCAAUUCACAGUCAUCCAGAUAAGAAUCCGGAUCCGGAAUCGAAGAAGCUGUUUGUGAAGAUUGCAAAUGCUUAUGAGGUACUUUGGAUUUUGUGAUUGUGUAGAGUUUAAUGAUGCAUCAAUUUGAAAUUUGAUACAAUGCAAGUUGAUUUUUCUGGAAAUUUGCGAUGUUGGUAAAGGAGUGUGACUGCUGCAUUGCAGAUUCUGAAGGACGAGGCGUCGCAGGAGCAGUAUGAUUACGCAAUUGCGCAUCCUGAGGAGGUAAUUUAUGAGCAACUUAGCCGGCAUUGAGUUAAAGGGUGAAAAUGUAGUAAAGAAAGGACCUUUAUGGCGUAAUGUAGUAUGUGCUGUGUGCUAGGUAGAGAACUAGAGAUAUGGGGGCUUUUACUAGAUAUGGCUGUUCCAUGGACAGAGCAUUCUAUUGUUUACCUUCCCAUGUACUUGGGUUUGCGCACAUUUUUCACGCUUUCUAGAAUGAAAAUUAAGUACCUAAUUAUUUCAAGUGCAAUGUAACGAGUUCCAUUGUCUGUUGGUAAGUUUGGUGGAUCAUUUUCUGGUUAUAGUAUUGUUUGGUACUAUGGUUGCUUAUUCAUCGUGUCUGAAUAUUUGAGUCAUCUUCCAGUCCUUGUCUAUUUUAGUAUAAGAUUUUGCAUGCUGAAAACAACAAUUUUCCUGUUAGUGAUUACUCAAUAUGCCAUAUUGUCACUGUAAAGGGAGACGUGUGUUUUCUGCACUUCAAAUUUGUAGUAUUCUGAGCUUUUAUAUAUGUGUGGAAUCUGGAAUAAUAAUCCUAACUGUUUUUUGUAUUUUGUUCUUGUCUUUGCUAGUAUUUCUACAAUACAGCUCGCUACUAUCAAUAUAUAUUGGGUUUGAAGAUCUCAUACCUCGGUCAAGGUGCCUAUCAUGACACGGGGUUAUGGGACGCGCCGCUUGAGGGUAAGAAGUCGCCCUACCGCAAAGAAGUACGGCAGGGCGAUUAAAGCCCUAGUAGCACUAGAAGGGGGUUUAGUGCCUUCACGGAUGGUUAAGGCGGAAACAAAUUGGUGAGCAACCUCGUGAAUGAGGGAGGAGAAGGUGCGAAGCGGCUGAAAACCUAGAGAGAAAACCCUAAGAAGCGGCUAACGUGAUAUUUUUUCGUUUAUCAAGAUAGAUUGUAGUAGAUUUGUUUAUGCUCAUUUACUAGGGGAUAAAAUACAGUCAAUAUCUAAUAUAUACUCCAUUAAGCACAUUGGUAUUCCACAUUGCGAAACUAUUAUUUUGAUAUUCAACAUUCAUACCCAAACCAACAUUAGCACCCGAAACUCAUUUAGUUGUUGACUCAACAAACGUAUGUUGAACUUUGAGAGGUAUUCUCGUCUUUAUAUUUAAUCUCUUAUUCCUAUUUCUUCUUCCUCGCGCUCUUCUUGUUUUCUUCUUCCUCCAUGGUGCUGGUGGCCAAUAUGCAUAACUUGUUUCCAAACUGCGAAAGAUAGUAACAAUGUUCAUAAUUCGUGGCUAGAAACUUGAAUACACUGCUUGAUCUUUUUUUGAAGAGCUGCCACCAAAUGCACAACAAAUCCAUGGUUUGAUCACAAGACAACUCUGAAGGCACAAGAGGACAUGUGUAACAAGUUUCCAGUCUUUAUGAGACCAUAUAAUGCUCUUAGCAGAGUUUCUAUUCCAUGGACUAAAGAUUGAAAGAGUUUUUGGAUCCAAAUAAUCAACCUUCGAAAUAUUGCAGUUUUUCAUACCCAAAAAAGAAAGAUAUUGCAGUUCACUCUGAAAGGGAAGAGGGAUGCUCAAGCAUAUCAAGUAUAUGCAUGGUCAAACAUCAAGACUGAUCCUGAGUUUUCCGCAACUAUGCGAAAAAAGAAAAUGGGGCUACCAAUCUUCAAAAUCAGCAACUUCUGAAGCAAAGCGUUUUUACGCAACUUAUUUCCCUUCAAAAGUAAUACAGUAAGUUCAAACAACAUAUAUAUAAUUACUAGUAGUAUAACAAUAUAGCAACCCAAAUUUAUUUAGAUGAAACAGCUCUUUAUGAUGAUCCUACGUGAUGUAUCGUUUUUCUACUAUUUGUUGAUAUGUAAAUCAUAUGACCUCAUUUGUUCGAAAAGAAAUUCGAUGGUCAACCUUUUAUAUAUUCAGCAAGCAGAAUCAAGAUAACACACAUUUCAGGCCCGAUAAUAAGAGUUAUCUCUUAAGACUUAGUCUAAACUAUAUUUAAAAGUCAAAAUACACCUCAUUUUUAGUACAAUUUAUAGCACCUUUAGUUAACAAUCCCCAUAUUGGUGUAGAAGCAAUGAUAAAAGGGUGUACUAGAAGAAAAACCCAAUUUGGAAUUGCCCCCUAUUCAAACUUAAGCUGCACAAUGAGCCAUAAAGACCCGGUCCAGCCAAGCCCACACCUGGAAAAAAAGCCUAAACUAAGAAAAAUCCAAGUCCAUAAUAUAAAGACUAGGCGACCAAAGUCAGAAAAUGGUGAACCCCGUCAGGUCCAAGACUGAUAUCUAGCCUAAGACCGAUUAGUUCAUCCCAAGUUAACACCCAGAAGGAGACCAUGUUCUUCCAAAAGACAUUUGCCGCCACUGCUAAAGGCUCUGAGGUGACCAUGCAACCAGACGAUGGUGUCACUUCCUAGCCACAGUCGGCACCAACCUUCAAACCCAACCAGUCACCGACAAGAGGAGUAAAGAGUUGAACCAAAAGGCCACCACGAGGACUGAACCAACGAGAUCCCCAGGAUCCGUCGAUGUCGUCGUGCACAACCCGUUGUAAUCUCUAUCAUCAUACCAGCAAUAGUCUGGUAAAACGCACCUCACAUCGCCAUUGUAUUCAGCCGACCACAACCACCUUCCACUGCUACUACAGAUCCUCGACAAAAAACCAACCACCGCAAAUUCAAACCUCGACAGUGAAACUCACCGUCAUCUUUAAAAGUUAGAGCCUGCGAUGUUCCUCGUAUAGUGACAGGGACAUAACGUUUCCCAUCACCUGUUAUGACAACCGCUUGAGAGAAAGAAUCUUCAAGCACCAGAUACAAUCCCGAAAACCCUCCACCAUAACCGCCAGGGAGGACAACACUAGCAAAGAGAAUAAACAUACAAAGCCUACUUGGUCUCCAUGAGAUGAAGAAGAUUUCUCGUACUUUGAACCCUAUAGGCGGUUUAGGAGGAGAGAGCGAUACGUCUUACUUGAAAUGGCAAAAUUAUGUUAGCCUCAUUGCUAGCAUCUUUAAACCUUUUUUUAGACUUGAGCUUUUUUAAGGUAGAGUAGAGAAAAUUUUAAGAAGAGUACACGAAAUAUGGCUCAAUAUGAAUUUAUGUACACGAAAUUACAAAACACACACUUUAGUACAUCACAUUACGACCCCAAACCAAUAUAAGUACACGUCGUUAACUACACCGUUAGUUUAUACAUCAGUAGACAUAAUAGAAGGGGCAAUUUGGUCUCUUUGAACUUUUGCUGUCCUGGGCAAUACUCAUCUUCCAACCACUUAUGCAAAGUCACCCUCAGCGCCACUCUAAUUCCUACAUCCAUUAAUAUCAAACAAUCAAAUAAACAUCGUAAACAACUUCAAUUUUGUAAACUACAAAAAAGGUAGGGAUCAAAUUGAUAUACCUCUAAGGAGGACCAAGUAUUGUUCUGGGACGGUGAAGUCUUUGAACUUAAACACCUGGGUCUUCUUCAGUUCUUCAUCCAUUUCUUGCUCAUUGAUUUCUGGGUUUGAAGCAAAUUGAAAUCUUUGAGUUGUUUCUGAUUUGGAGCCUUGAUUCCCCCCUGAACCCUAUUUCCUUAUUGUGGUUCCGGUGAUGUUGAUAAGGGUUCCCUCCUUGAAAAGCUUGUUGAAAUCAAGCUUUCGAUUGGGCUCACACCCCUCAAUGUCUCCAAUAGGAAACUCUUGAGGGGUGGUGGAGUGGGAUGUCGUUGGCUAUGGGGGAGAGACGAAUUUAACAGAAGAAAACAAAAAUACUAAGUUAUCCUUUGAUAAAUUGAUAACGACAUAGGAGUUAACUGUGUUUAAAAGGCGUGUACCUAUAUUAGUUCGGGGUUCUUAUGUGAUGUAUUAAAGUGUGUGUUUUGUAAUUUCAUGUACAUAAAUUCAUAAUAAGUCAUAUUUUAUGAACUGUUCAUAAAAUUUUCCCAAAACAAUAACUUCAUUGGUAUUGAGCCAUUCGACCAACAAUUGCUAGGUCAACUAGGAGUAAUCUCUGAUACAAGCUAAGAGCGAGCUCUUUAUUUAGCUAAACUAAAACUGAAAGGGAAAUACAAAAAUCUAAGUCCAAAAAGGCGGACAAUUCAAAACUAAUUUUUUUAUUAUUCGUAAAUGUAAUCCUAAUUCUCCGCAUUUGCCAUGAAAGACUUGUGGCCCAAUAACCCAACGGUGUACCUCUCCACCCGCCACAACAGUGGAUAACAUCAAAAUAGAAUUACGUUGGAAGUGAGCCGCAAUUAACCCAACGGAGUCCAACAGAAGCCCAAGUAGAUGGAGGAAAUGUCAGGUAAAGCCAACUCGGCCCAGUCCUACCAACCCACAAAGGCUCAUAUGCUAAACACCGAGCAGGGUUCAUCGGAGCUGCCUCCCUUAGGCCACCGCUGAAAUCCUACUAGGCUGCUGCAAUCGCUUCUGGUGGCCGUGCCCUGUCCUCCACCAUGGCAUGACCGGGAAAGUAGCUAGUCUCUCUACCUUCGACGUAAAGAUCAACGACCAAAACUUGUCGCAUAUAUUAGAUAGGCCGGAUCUGGUCUUAACUAGACAAAUUACCCUAGACGAUCCUUGAUGCUCGAAACUGGAAUCCAUAGCAACCCACCCCGUCCUCAGCCUUUAAAGUUGAUCGUCCACCUCGACAAGAAGCAUAGCCGCGUUGCCCUGGAGCGUUGUUACCGCCUACGAGAAACGUAGGGUUUCUAUGGUACCGUACGUGAAGCACGUUCUAAAAGAGAUCUUGUAGUGUUUUGAGUUGUCACAUCUUCUAGAACUUGAGCUUAACUUGUUCGUAAAGUUAAAAAUUGUAAGCCAAGUCAAGCUCUAGUAGUCACAAUAUCACUUAUUACCUAAAUACUAUAUAUUAAUUCAUAGAUCUUAAAGUUACAAGAAAUAGUAAUGUUGAUACUGAAAAAAUCCCAAGUUUGCAUCUGAUGUUGAUACCAUAUUACUACCCAUCUAGAGGGGAAUAGAGCAAGAGCUUAAAGAAAGGAUGUUGUCUACCAUAUUUUGUUAUUUAGACACCUUAUUAUUCUGUUAUUACUAUUCAUUUUUGUUUACAAACUAUCAUUUUGAGUAUGCUUCAAUGCUUCAUGAUUUGCUCUUCAUCAUCGUAGAUGUGGUGUGCCUUAAGAGUAAAUGCAACGAUGGUUCAUUUUGAGGGUUGGUUUGAAGAUCGGAUCGAAAAACAACAUCCAUCAAAGAGGAAUUAGUGCAUGUUAGACGUGGGUCCCAUAUGAAGCACACCUACCCCAACCAAAGCAUGGGGCAAUCUUCAACCCACGGAUUAGUCUAGACCAAUACAAACGUUGGGCUCAUACACACACCAUUUUGCAUAUGAUGUUGGUCCAAAACAAUACAAAUAUUAAUAAAAAUAUAUAUUUUCUAUAAUGUACACAAUAAUUGGUCUUUGAAUUAAUCUAAUUAUUGUAUUGUCAAACCGAUGACAAAAAUAAAUUUAAAUAAAUAAUGUAUUAACCCGGGUGAAAAUUUGUCUGACCCAUCUAAAAUGGAUGCAUUUGUUCUAAAGAAAAUGUAAAGCCAAAAAGGUUGAGUUUGUUGAGAAAAGGUCAAAUAUUUGGUUGACUAAGAUAUUUAUACAAAAGAAAAAGGAAAAUGAAAAGGAAUAAAAGGAGCGAGCGACUUGGGUGAAAAUUAAGAAAGAGUCCGGAGUGGAAGUGGGGAAGUCUGGGUUGCGUGAUUGAGCAGAAGCCAGAAGAGGGAGAGAGUGGAGAGAAAAAAUGAGCAUACACGAUCCACACCAGCUGAUGGCUCCGGCCGAUUCCAAUGGGACCACUCCGGCCAAGGAGCAGCAGGCUGCCGGAGUUGGCAUUCUUCUCCAGAUCAUGAUGCUCGUCCUCUCUUUCGUCCUAGGUCAUGUCCUCCGCCGCCACAAGUUCUAUUAUCUCCCCGAGGCUAGCGCUUCGCUUUUGAUCGGUACUCAUUUCUUCGACGACCAUGACCUAUUCUUGCUUCAUUUCUUUUCUUCAUUUCGUUAACACAAUUAUUAUUAUUAUUCGCAGGUUUAAUUGUUGGCGGACUCGCUAACAUCUCUGAUACCGAAACUAGCAUCAGGUUCUUCCCUACCCUCUACCUAUAUAAUCGAACAGGAAUUUCAACAAUUGCUAACAUCUCUGCUUUGUUUCUCAGGGCCUGGUUCAAUUUUCACGAGGAGUUUUUCUUCCUCUUCCUUUUACCCCCUAUCAUAUUAUAUCCUCAUGUUUCCUUGUUUUUUUAUCGUCUUCUUUUCCUUGCAACAUUUUCCUUGCUUGUAUGGUUUUCCUUGACACUUUUGUUCUCACUCAGUCCGGCUUCAGUCUUUCUCCUGUAAGUUUCCUACUACUGUAUGCAGAUAAUUGUUUGUUUGCCACCCAUGUCCUAUUAAUAUUCUACAUUUUUAUCUUCACAGAAACCUUUCUUCUCUAAUUUUGGAGCCAUUGUCACCUUCGCUAUCCUUGGAACCUUUAUAGCUUCUGUUGUUACUGGUGUUCUAGUGUAUGUCUUCUGUUUUAUCAUUCAUAAUAUUACGGCAUUCCCCACCUCACUAUUGUGGACUCAUUUGUAUCUCCUUCCUCCUUCCCUUGUAGUUACCUUGGCGGUCUGAUGUACCUCACCUNNNNNNNNNNNNNNNNNNNNNNNNNNNNNNNNNNNNNNNNNNNNNNNNNNNNNNNNNNNNNNNNNNNNNNNNNNNNNNNNNNNNNNNNNNNNNNNNNNNNNNNNNNNNNNNNNNNNNNNNNNNNNNNNNNNNNNNNNNNNNNNNNNNNNNNNNNNNNNNNNNNNNNNNNNNNNNNNNNNNNNNNNNNNNNNNNNNNNNNNNNNNNNNNNNNNNNNNNNNNNNNNNNNNNNNNNNNNNNNNNNNNNNNNNNNNNNNNNNNNNNNNNNNNNNNNNNNNNNNNNNNNNNNNNNNNNNNNNNNNNNNNNNNNNNNNNNNNNNNNNNNNNNNNNNNNNNNNNNNNNNNNNNNNNNNNNNNNNNNNNNNNNNNNNNNNNNNNNNNNNNNNNNNNNNNNNNNNNNNNNNNNNNNNNNNNNNNNNNNNNNNNNNNNNNNNNNNNNNNNNNNNNNNNNNNNNNNNNNNNNNNNNNNNNNNNNNNNNNNNNNNNNNNNNNNNNNNNNNNNNNNNNNNNNNNNNNNNNNNNNNGUGGUGAAUUGUAACUGUUCGUACCUUCUGAGUCUGGUUAAGGCUAGGCUUUUCUCAAGUAUUGAGGCAUCAUUAGUUCUUGUGCAUUGAACAUAUAAGAGUGUCUAGGUUUCUCUAAUUCUGAUUUUCCUUGAGUAAUGAAUUUUAAAUGAUGGGAGUGAUUGCAGGAACUCGGCACAGAUACGAACCUGUAUGCUCUGGUGUUUGGGGAAUCUGUUUUGAAUGAUGCGGUCAGUUUCCAUUGCUCUGUAUUUAUAACCCAUUUUGUUAUGACAUCAUUUGGCUAAAGAUUGACCAUUUUUACUCGAUGAAAUUGAUUUCAUGUGUCCUGCCAAUCAACAGAUGGCAAUUUCCUUGUACAGGUAUGCAGAGUAAAUUAUUCUUGUACCCAACAAUUGAUAUGUAUAAAGUUCAGGUCUAAUCAGCCAGUGUUCUUCUAUGCAGGACAAUGUCCCUGGUCAGGAGCCAUGCAUCAUCUGGAGAAAACUUCUUCAUGGUUAUAGUCAGGUUUCUUGAGACCUUUGUCGGUUCAAUGUCUGCAGGUGAAUGUUUAAUAUCCUUGUGCAGUUUAGUAUUGUUAGUCCUAAUGUUUUUGUUAGCUAUCAUAAAAUAAAAAUCAACUCAUUUUGCUAUCUGAUUGUCAAAUUUUUUUAUUAAAAUGCCGUGAUACCUGGAGCUUUUAUUUCUGUUAGGUUGUAAUAUGUACUGAAACCGCUAUUAAACUUUCAUCUAAAAUAGUCAAGUGACUGAAGUUCAAUUUGAAUGGUGUGGUAUUGCCAGAUUACAGACCAUUAAAAAGAGACCAAUUUAAGUAAAUAAAGGUGUUAUCUUUUAUAUUUAGUGAACAAACAGCCUUUACUUUGUAAUGUGGAUCAACAACGUUGACACUUUUUCCUCCCUUCUUUUUGCUUUGAAGUCGCUUGUGCUCUAUUAGAUUUAUGCUCCUUUUGCGUGCGAUUUGGUUUCUCCAGUUACUAAUGCAUUGAAAUUUCUUUUCAGGAGUCGGAGUUGGAUUUACUUCUGCUUUGAUAUCCUUUUUUUCAUUACUUUUAUAUUAUCUUUGUCAAUCUACUUUUGAUAAGCUGCAGUUAGAUGUAUUUGGGAAACCUUAAUUUUGAGAACCUUUUUAAGUAUGCAGGGUUGGAUAUUGACAAGUGAGUGCUACUCUUAUACUACUCUUUGCCAAUUAUGGUUUAUUACUACAUGUUUCGGUAUUAACAAUGUUGUUUUGUUAUUUUUUCAGUCUUCAGAACUUGGAGUGCUGUCUUUUUGUCCUGUUCCCGUAUUUCUCGUAAGGAUCUUCUUGACUGUUUUUUCAUUAUCCGUGUAUAAGUUUUAAGGCUUAUAUGCACUUACAGGCAAAUUGAUUUCAAACUAUUGUCUUUCAAGGUAUAUGCUUGCCGAAGGUCUUGGGCUCUCUGGUAUUGUGUCAAUAUUGUUCACAGGAAUGGUAAUCCGAAGUACAUAUUUUCCUGUUUAGUUGUAUAUAUCCCCAGUAAAAACCUCUGUUAUGGAAAUGCAUCUCUUAUUUCAGGUCAUGAAGCAUUACACGUAUUCAAAUUUGUCAGAAAACUCUCAACGAUUUGUUUCAGCCUUUUUCCAUUUGAUAUCAUCACUAGCAGAGACAUUUGUGUAAGAGCGUUCUUUGUUGUCCUUAUGUAAAGUAAUUUAUCUGUUUCUUGAUUGAAAUAUCUGUUUUUUUUCUUCGCAGAUUUAUAUACAUGGGCUUUGAUAUCGCUAUGGAAAAGCAUAGCUGGUCACAUGUUGGAUUCAUUUUUUUCUCAAUUGUAUCCUCUCAUGAGUUGUCAAUGGUUAAAGUUCAAUUAUACUCUACCAAUUGAAAUUCACUAUUGUUCCUUAACUUAGUGUGUGAUUGCUUCAGAUAUUCAUUGGAGUAGCAAGGUAUGCCUCAGUAAACCAGUCUUUGGUUACAAAUUUGUUUGAUUACCAUCUUCAACUUUCUGGGGUAUCUUUAGUGGCUAGUAUAACUAGUCCACUUUUGAACACCCAUUAACAUAAGUCGGCCAUAAUAUUGACACAAUACCAUGGCUUUAUAUCUUUUAGUGGCUAGUAUAACUGUUUCCAUUUUAUAUCAACCUUAAUAUAAGUCAUUGUAUUUUGUUGAGAUUACUGACAUCUGUUUCUCAUGAUUUAUUGCAGGGCAGCUAAUGUGUUUUCUUGUGCAUAUUUGGUCAACUUAUCUCGACCUGCACAUAGACAGAUACCGGUAAAACAUCAAAAAGCACUUUGGUACAGUGGUACGAUUUGCAGAAACCUGUUGUGAUUUAUUUAUUUAUCUAUUUUAUUUUUAUAGUCUUUUAUGAAUUAUUGGAUUGAAUAGGACUUCGAGGGGCCAUGGCUUUUGCCCUCGCUCUGCAAUCAGUUCAUGAUCUUCCAGAAGGGCAUGGUCAGACUAUAUUCACCGCAACUACUGCGAUAGUUGUUCUGACGGUACACAAACUAAUUAUUGUCCUUAAAAUAUAAUGUUCUAAAUGUUGGGUGAAUUGAUGACCUGGUUUCCCUGAUAGAUAUACAGUCUCUUUUUUAGUCAUGAUUUCUGAACUGAAUCUGGACCUAAAACUAUGUAAUCUCACACAGGAACUUAAUUAAUGAUCACAGAGACAAGUUGUUUGCUCAAUUGUGGAAAUAUUAAACCUUUUGUCAAUAUACCAUCUCUUCAUUGUAUGUUAUUGUAUCCAUCCUCUUGCACUUGUAGUCGUGCGUUUUAAAAUGUCUGUCUCAAAAGGGAGCUAAAUACUCUACAACUAAUUGGUCAAAAGUUCUGUUUCUGUAUGAAACAUUAAAGUUUUAAAAUAAGUCAUGUUUUUAAGAAAAGAUGCAAACUGUCCUAGCAUCUUUCAGAAAUGGAAUGCCAAUAUUUAAUUGACACCUGGAAUGGAAUGAGGAAUUAACAAUAUGAUGUAUAUGUGUAUAUGUUUAUAUAAAUGUAACCUUGUCCAACUAAUUCUUUAGGUAUUAUUAAUUGGAGGUUCAACUGGUACAAUGCUGGAAGCUUUACAAGUUGUAGGUGAUGGCCAUGAGAGUACAUUGGGUGAAGUAAGUUCUCGAAAUCUGCCAAAAGAAAGUGUAUAUUUACGUUUUCUUUGCUAAUUGUCCGACGAUAUAUGAUUAUAGUGUUAUAAGAUCCUACGUGGAUCAUUCUUAUUAUCCAAGGAUAUUGUUCACUAGGAAUACUCUACCCUAGAGUAAAGGGAGUCAAGACUAUGAAUACUGUUUACUAUCACUUUGCUUCUAUAAUGCCACAAAGGUGCCAAGGGUUUUCGGUCCUUUACUGUCCUGCUGUUCUUUUUCUGUCAAAGGCUCAAUUAUGCUCUAAAGACUAUCUACAUGCACCCAGCUACCAUGCUGAUGCCAUAAGGCUCUGGCCUACAAGGCUGUCCAUGAAUUUUGUUCUUUUUGCCAUUCUAGAUGGCUCUUUUAUUUCAUGAACUUGUGCUGUUAGGGCUGAUUGGUCUCUGGUUCCUGAUGUCUGUUUUUUUUCCUACUCAUUUUUAAAAGAUGCAUACAAACAUGUUAUCGAGUUUCUUGUUCAUAUGAUAGGACAUUUUUGGUGGGAGUGCCACUAAUGGUGGUAUUCUCUGUUUAGCUAUUUGUAAGCAGAAUUUUUUACUGCCUGAGGAAGAUGGCAGGGUUUGGAUUGAUUAUUACUAGAUACUAGUUCCUUUGGAAAAUAAGGAUAGGGCAACCUUGAGUUUGUGUUGAGCUCUUGUUUGUGAAAGUGAGAUGCAUAAAUACCACAUCUAGUUGGUUUAUUGUUAAGGAUUAAGAUCAUAUCUCAUCACAUAUGUGGUCUUUGAAUGCUAGGGAGAAGUUUGGAGUGGUCUGGUAGUGUAGAUUGCCUGAGAAAGUUGUACAUAAAAUUUAGCUAAUACCAACAUUUUGGCCAUACUCUGAAAGUCCUUUGUAGGUUGCCUUUCAUUUAUGUGCUAGAAAAUUAGUACAAUCCCUCACCCACCAAAAAAAGGAAUAAAUUUUUAAUCAACUUUUCAUAUAGGUAGCAUCACAUGGUUGGAUUAUGAUGCUAAUCUGCUUUCAUGAUUCCUGGUGAUCAUGCAACUCAACAAAGCUGACUCUUUUGGAUAUGUAUAUUCUUUUUUCAGACCUUUGAUGGUAACCAUGGCUACAUGGCUCCUUCUUAUGAAGAUGACGAGGAAGAAUCAUCAGGGAACAGGAUCAAGAUGAAACUGAAAGAAUUCCACAAGAGGUAACAUUUAGUUGAUAAAUUUCUUCAUAGAGGAACCUGGUUUUCAUCUUGAUUUACUUUCUAAGCAGCAUGUUUUUCAUCCUGCAGUGCAGCUUCAUUCACAGCUUUCGAUCGUAACUACCUCACCCCGUUUUUUACAAGUCAGAAUGGCGAUGAAGCAGAAGAGUUUGGUAAGAUAGACUUGUGUGGAUUUCUUAUUUACUCUAUGGGUCUGCUGUGAAGAGUUCUUACAUAGUCCAUGACCUGCAUUCAAUUUUUAUUUUUAUUUUCCUUUUCACUGUCCUAUGAACCCAGUUAUUUACAAUUUUUGUUCUUUUUCAUCUCCUUUACAGAUGAGCCGAUGUCUAGCUCUUCAAGAGCAGUAGGUAGUUUCCAUGGUCAUGGCUAAUAUUCACGGUGAUUCUUUAGAAGCAAAAUGUUAGAAGAUGGACUCAACUCUGUAUAUAGACUAUUAGAAAGGGUUCCCAGGCACAAAUGAGGGAAUUAGUAAGGCCUCUUAGAAAAUAUAGUUGCGCGAGGCUGCAUUACACCUAGCAGUGUACUAUAGUCAAAACUUCUAAUAAUUUUUUUUUUUUUGCUAGUUUUCAUCUUACGUCAAUAGAAUGAAUAUUAAGUACUAGCAUAUGUACCUAAUUUUACUCAUUUAAUCCUCACACAAAUCUGAUCCACAUUUGGAAAUUGGGUAGAAAUAUCCUUAUACCAUAACUGAUGUUUUGUUACUUGGACAAUUUGGUUCCUAGGGAGCCCUUUUAAUGAAGACCUUUAUAAUGAUGACUAGUUAAAGAUUUUUCGGUUUAUGGUUUAAAAGUUUAUUUUUCAAUCACAUUUUGACAUCUCAUCUGUUCAGUUUUUAGGUCUAUAAGAGAUCAUUUAUAUAAAUUUUCAGCCAAAUUGGUGAUCGUUAAGGUAACGAACUAGAUCAAAUUAAUAAACGAAUCAAAUUUGUCAAACACAUGAAACAUUCAAGUUCAUAAUUGGUAAAUCACAUUUAUGAAUGUUUUAACGAUUUUUAUUAAGGGCUGAAAAUUUGUAAAAUGAUCUAUUUAUAAAUACAUAUAAACUGAACGGCCAAGUUGUGGAUAUAAGAUCGAAAAGUGGGAUAAACUAAAAAGUCCUCAACUAGUCCUCAUUAUAGAAGUCCUUAUUAGAUAGAUGUGAUUAAAAAAGAAACUUUUAAACCAUAAACUGAAAAGUCCUUAACUAGUCCUCGUUAUAGAGGUCAUCAUUAGAAUGGCUCUCUUAUGUCCUAAUCUAUAAAAGAGAGGAGGUUAUUCUCUGUUUGACCACUUGGUCUUUGUUUCUCUGAUGUAUCUAGGUACAACUGUAGAACUAAUAAAAGAUACAUGACGCUUAAUUUAGAAUUUUAAAUGUUACUCAUCGUAUUUUAUCGUUUUUAAGGAAUAGUUUGGUCAUUAAUUCAACUUUUGACAGGAGUUUUCAUUUGCUAUAAUAUUUUAUUUUAUUAGUGUUUUAUGAGGUACGAUAUUAUGAUGAAAUUUUAAAAUUAUUAUUUAAAAUUUAAGAAUAUUCGAUAUUAUAAACGGAUCAGUGAAUAUGGAUUUAGAUUGAGUUAUAUCAAUGAUCUAGCGGGUAACCCGUUGGAUACAGGUUUAGAUUGAGCAAUCAUGGAUAACGGAUCGGGUUCGCAUUUAAAAUUUUCUAUUUUUCUAUUACUAGACGGAUCCGGGUUUAUUUCGAUCCGGUCCAUGUCUCUUGUUCAGGCCUAUUUUAAAAAAAUUGAACCGUUACGACUUUCCCAAAACAGCCAACGGCUAGUUAUUCCCAAAUUGGCACCUGAUAGCCCUGUGGAAAGUUUUCAUCCCUUCCAAAAUUCGCACCUGGUAGCUGGCGCUCUCUCUCUCUCUGAUGCUUUUUUCCUCUCUCGACCAAUAGCCAGGGUUGGAGAAGAGCCCAUUAGAAGGUGUCCUGAUUGAUCGACCACAGUUUUCUAAUCGGGAUUCGAACUGAGGUACGACGGAAUAUGGAUCAAUUGAUGGUGGAAAACUUGGCAUCUGGCACGGGUGAGGGAGCAGUAGCCCCUCAUCCUCCGCGGCGGCCAAGGGUGAGGGAGGUGAGCUCUAGGUUCAUGUCUCCUGUGGCCAGUGAUCCCUUCCCCACCAGAUCACCUCUUCCCAGACAUCAAAAUCAACAGGGUGUCUCAACUCCAAGCCAGCGGUCACGGAGGCACCUGGACUUGGAGCCCUUCCGCUGCUCCGACGAGAACAGGCCCACCCGCGCCGAGUCUCCUCUCCCACCGGAUCAGCAGGCAAGGAAACAGCGUCCUGUCAAUGCCAAUGCCAAGCCUUUGAAAGAGAACGGAGGAGGCUCAAGACCCGACACGCCCAUGGUGACUGCUAGUCUCGAUAGGACUCCGUCAAGACCCAGACUCAUUCAGCAACGGGUCAGUGCCACUGCAGCUGCUAAGCUCUUGAAAACUACCACCAGCGAGGCCAAUAUCCAGGAAGCCACCUCCAGGUGUCUUUCUGACAUCCGCUCCUCUAUGCCCGAAUCCAAUAUGUUGCCAACUGUUUCCAGUAGACAGACGAGUGAAAAAAGUUGUAACAAUGGCGGUGGUUUUUCAAAAAUUUCUGCUUCUCCUUGUUCCCGUUCUCUCAACUUGCCACUGUCAAGCUCCGAGCACUUACACUUCCAGUCCGUCAAAGGCAGUGAAAAAUUAGCAUCUGCUUUGUCCAAGCCAUGUACAAAUGCAGUGAAUACGGGCGGCCUCUGUCUGCCCCCAGUCCCACCAUGUGCUACUGCGAAGCCAGCUUCAGAAUUUAGGAAAGGAAAGAAGGAAGAUGUUCAUUCCUUGAGAUUGCUUCAUAACCGCUAUUUGCAGUGGAGAUAUGCCAAUGCAACAGCAGAGGCUUCCUUGCGAGCUCAGCAGAGAGAGACUGAGGUAAGUAGCUGAUCCCCUCUAUUUCUUUCAAGUGAUCAAGAUUGAGAUCCAAAGAUUGCUAUUCCUUUAUACUUAUUUUUGUUUCUGUCUAUGAUCUCCACAAGCGCAUAUGUUCAUAUAGAAUCUGAUUCUAUGUAAGUUUAGUAAUUGGAUCCAAUACUGAUACAACAAAACAGCUUAUAUACCCCUUCUCAUGCAUUUCUGCCAUCACUAUUUCCUUUACAACUUGUUACUUUCCAAGUGACUUUAUUGAUUGCCCAUGAAUGUUCUUUGUCUGAAUUUAUGUAUUUACCCUAUUAGACUUCGAAUGCAACUACUUAGGCUAUUUUUUCUCUUCACUUCCUUGCAGAGAACGCUUUAUUCUCUUGCAUUACAGAUAACAGAACUAUAUGAUUCUGUGAAGAGAAAACGGAUAGAACUUGGCGUUUUGCAAAGAACAAAGAAUUUAUCGACAAUUCUUGAAGCGCAAGUAAGGCUAUUAGCUCUAGAUGAUUUAUUUAUUGUCUUCAUGACUUUAUGCAGCAUGUUAGUUUGCAUAUACUUGAUGAAAGACUUUGUAUAUCGUGUAUAAGCAUAUUGUCAUCUGCAUCAUCCAUGACAUGCCCAUCAUCCCUUUGCCUUUUAUAUCCAUACGAAAUCAGUAUCUGCUAAGCUAUUUCUGUAACUUAAGGUUGUAUCUCAAAAGUUUGGGUUCAUCACCGAAUCAUGAAAACAGGUUGGGCGGUAAUAGUUCCCUUCCACAAAGUAAAGAGUUCAAAAAUGAUUUGAGCUGUAUACAAUUUUUUUUUUUCUUUUCUGGGGAGGUUUCUAUGACUAAGAGGUAGAGUCUGAGGUCUUUGGAUAACCACCCUCUAUAGCUGAACGGGUCUAUUAUCUUCAAUGAUAAGAAACAGAUCCUAAUUGAGUAGAAGCUCAUCUUUAGUGUAAUGUUAUACGGUUUCCACCAUCCCCAGUUACUCUGCAACUUUUAGUUGUGGAACGUAUAGUACUUGUGGGUGAUAUCAGAGCUAAUGCCAGAUAAUGUAGUCCACUGGCUGUAAUAAAGGCUAAAACAUAGAGACUCUACAAUAUAUAUAUAUAUAUAUAUAUAUAUAUAUAUAUCACAGACUUUCUUUGGCUCAUUCCCUACAAAUUUGAUCUCCGUUUUCAUUUGGGUGGUGUCUGUGUGUCUGUUCUCCUUGUCAAGUCAUGGUAGGGAUGAGAUGGUGAGAUGUUUCUUUGCAUUUGCAUUUUUCUGCUUCUUUGCAAUAUGGGACUGAAAGAGAGGACAAUAUUAUCUUGGUAUGCACUGAGGGUAGUGCACAUUUCUCUUCUUUUUCCCCAACAAAAAUUACUUCCACUAUAGUGUUGAGAAACCAUUUCCUGUUUUAGUGUACCUGAAUCUUGCUGUUCAUAUUAAGAAAUAGAAGUAGCCUACAUUUUAACGUACAUAUUCUGGUGCACUUACUAGUGUUUUAACAUGUGUAUUAUAGAUUCCAUAUUUGGAUCAGUGGUUUUCUCUUAAAGAGGACUAUUUAAUUUCUCUGGCAGAAGCAACACAAGCUUUGUUGAACACAUCACUUCGGCUUCCAAUCAGUGCCAAUGUUAAGGUAUAAUUUCCUUGUUUAGUUAUAGCUGUUCAACUUGUGUUUCUUAUAUUUUGUUCUCUCAUGGUUACCCUGACACAAUAGAUACUUUGUAGGCUAAUAAACAAGAGGUAGAAGAGGCACUGAACUCAGCAAUGGAAGUCAUUGAGAAAAUAGUUUUCCAUGUUCAGCAAUCUAUGCCAAAGGUAAAACGACUCCCGCCCCCGUAUUAUUUAUUUUCUACACAAAAAGUGAAUGACAGUAUUUGACAUCGUGGUAGUGUUCCAUAUUAUUUAUUUUCUACACAAAAAGUGAAUGACAGUAUUUGACAUCGUGGUAGUGUUCAUAAGAACUCUAACUUAAUUUCAUCAAGUAAAUUUUUUGAACUGCACUGAGUUGGGUACUUGAUAACAUAUAUGUAGUAAUGUUGAAUUUAGAGUAAAUUCACUAAAUUUAUUUAUGAAAAGAACAAGUUUUUCAAAGAUAAUUGAUUGAAUGAAAUGAGAAAACGGUUCGGUUCAUAAAGUGCAGAAUCAAGUUUCCUUAAGUAAAAUCUUUGUAGACUAUUUAAUUAUACUUAGAGUAAAAUCUUAAGUAUAUAUGGGUUGGCCUCUUCCAAACUUAAAAUUUAUGACAACGACUUUUCUCAUUCAGGCAGAGGAAACAGACCAUUUAAUUUCAGAACUAGCAAGAGUGGCUGGUGGAGAAAGAACUCUCGUUGAAGUAAGUGGAAAUUUGUUGUCCAAGACAUAUACGACACAGGUUUGCCACACCUCAACACUGCUUAAUUACUAUGUCAUCCUUGUAUGUUACUAGGCUAUGAUUUUGUGAUGUUUCACCAUUGUUUAUGCUAAUGAUAGUAUCGGUCUCUUUAACUCUGACUGUAUCAUUAUCAGUUUACCUCAUUACGAGAAUGUCAUACUUACAAUUCUUGGCUUUCAGGUGGAAGAGUGUAGCUUAAGGGGUCAUAUAAUCCAGUUGAAACAACAUAUCUGAGCAUAUAAUCCAAUUGAAACAACAUUGUUGAGGUGCUGUCAGAGUGAGCAAUUUAAUCCAGAGUGUAACAACGUUGCAACUGGGUGAGCAAUGAAUAAGUUCUUGCUGCAUGUCAUUUGUGCUAGCCAGGUGAAUAGUGGUGAGCAAUGAAUAAGUUCUUGCUGCCUGUCAUUUGUGCUAGCCAGGUGAAUAGUGUGAUUUAGGGAUAUACAUACGUGAUUCUUCAACAAAACUAGUGAAGUCCUUAAUUCUACCUUUCUUUGCAAGGAAAGUAAAUAUAUUCUUUUUAUUUUAUUUUUAUUACUGUACUUUGUAAAGGCUACAUCAGGGUUUUAGCCAUUGUUUUCAUUUUCCAAAUGCAAAGGAACUAUCUAGGUAAUGAUUUAUUUCUUCAUUUUUUUUUGUUUAAAGAAAAAAGAUAAUGAUUUACUUUUUGAUAUAUUGGAACAUGUUUAAGAGGAUAUAUCGAUUAAUAACUAUAAUAUUAUUCAUUGAUAGAAAUGUUUAUUUAUAUACAUUACAUAGAGUCUCCCGAAUGAUCUAGAAGUUUUAUCAAUAUACUGUAAUCUAUUUUAAUAAAGAAAAGACUAGGACAUGAAAGUAAUUUCCUUAAACACUCCCUCUUGUGUCGUGUGUCUAAUAUGACAUAGUGCAUGUGAUGUUGCCUCACUAAAAACCUUGCCAAGUAAAAUAAAAACCUCGUGGGCAAAAUAAAAGACUUGGACAAAGGAGAAAAAGAGUACAACGUACCAUAACUUGUGAUGUAGCCUCCCAUGAUGUCCACAGAACGACUCCCCCUGAUUAGUAACUCAAUCUCAGAGUUCAGAUAAACGACGUGUACCAAUGCUCUUCACAUGUUUCUCAAAAGUAGAUUUGGGUGGAGACUUGGUAAACAUAUCUGCUACAUUAUCCUCAUAACUCACCUAGUUCACUUGGAUAUUCAAAAACUGUUGUUGUUGUUGAUUGAAAUUCGACAAGAUAUGUUUAAUUAGUAUUAUCACCCUUAAUGAAACCUAACUUCAUCUGUUCAAUGCAAGCCUUGUUAUCCUCAUAGAUGCAAGUUGGUUCAGUCGUAGUAGAUGUUAAUCCACUACACUCUCGAAUAUGAGUCACUACAGACCAAAGCCAAACAUAUUUUCUAACUAGAUAAUGCCAACUUUGAGUGGGGAGGGACUGAUUGGAGCAUGGAAAGGGAUUGCUUAUGCUUUGGAAGGGGUAUAACAUAGAAGAGGGUGUGGUAAAGAUAAAAAACUUGAAAGGUCUAGGCCCGCCUAGGCGGAUCUAAGUGGCCUCUAAGAGGUCUAGGCGGCCUCUAAACGAGUCUAGAAGGGUUAGACUACAAAGAUAAUAACCUCACCGCCAUUAGAUCAUUACUUGUAGCAUUGGAGAUUGAAGCAACUCAUACGUGGUGGCAUGUACACCAAGGAGCCAACAUGUAUGAGGAUGUUUUUGCAAGUGAAAACAAGGUUGCUCAAAUUGUGUGGUCUAACAAGAGAUAUGUUGGACCUUGGUUUGCUUCUCCGGAGUCAAAAGAGUCCAGGCUUGCAAUUCAGGUGCUGCCGAUUUCGAAUGGUAAUAUUGGAAGUUAAGAUUUUUGAUAUCUUAACUUCAAAUGUUAGAAAUUUUGAAUUUGAUAAUUUUGACACUUUUAAUAAUAAACUUAUGUAACCAUUAUAUGUGGUCGAGUUGGUAAGAGUCUUGGUGUGGAACCCCCAUACCAGAUUCGAAUCCCCUUGACGCUACAAUUUAUUUUUGGUGACUAGAGGGGAGAAAACAUUCUGACAUGAUCUCUUAGUACGGAUUAGUCUCUACCUAGAAAGCUGACUCAAAAAAAAAGAAAAAAAGAAAAAACAAUAAACUUAUGUCGGGGUCACGUGGUAGGCAUGCUCUGCAUAAGAAUCACCACAUUGCCACGUGAGAUUCUCAUUUCUCAAUAGUCUCUCAGCUCCUCGGCUAUGGUCCAUAGAACAUAGAGGUCUCAGCUACUCAGCUCUCGCAGCUCUCAGACGAGAACCCCAGCUCUGGGUCUCGGCAGUAUGAAUGCACUUACCCUAUGUCACCAUAACUAUAAUAUUCAUAUCAAUAGCCACCAUCAUUUCUCAGCGUCGGCGAAGCCCAAUUGGCCCAAAUUGUUGUCAGUUCCUCAUCCCCGAAACCAUGGCACUAGUACAAGGCCUUCGUCCCUGCUAAUCGAGACGGUGGAAGGCCAAGUUGCCGCUGAUUCCGAGCAAGCUCCUUCAUCCGUUGCUCGUCGUCUCAUUCUGCUUCGUCAUGCCAAGAGUUCCUGGGAAGACCCCUCGCUAAAAGGUAUUUCAAUCUUUUAAUUUUUGUUAUUGAUUUGUUUAGAGAUUUGAAUUUUGGUGUGCUUGUAGAUCAUGAUCGACCCCUGAGUGAAAAAGGACAAGCGGAUGCUGUCGAAAUCUCUCACAAGCUCCAACAGUUGGGCUGGGUUCCUCAGCUUAUUUUAUCCAGGUGAUUCAAUCACAAUUUGCCUUUUAAAAUUAGUUCGUAUUUCUUAGCUCCCGUGUUUGGGCUGCAGCAAUGCACUGCGAACCAGGGAGACUCUUAGAAUAAUGCAGCAACAAGUGAAAGGCUUCUUGGAAGCUGAGGUCCAUUACUUUUCCAGCUUUUAUUCCAUUGCCGCCAUGGAUGGGCAGACUGCUGAGCACCUUCAACGUAUUAUCUGCAACUAUUCAAGGGAUGACAUACUCACGGUCAUGUAACCUUACCUCACUCCUUACUCUUGUCUUUUAGGCGUUUUAAUUAUAAUUUUCUUUUCAAAUUUUUUUCUCAAUAACACUAGUCUCCGAAACCGAUCAUGCGUUUGGGUAAAAAUAUGCAAAGUUAUUGAUAUCAGUAUGGAUUUUUGACUACUAGGAUUUUUUUUUUUGGCUCUUGUCUCAAGCCUAAAAAUCUAGGCAAAAGUGGACAUGCUUAUUCUAUGAGUUUAACUAAUGUUAUUGAUCCAAAAGAAUCAAAUAUACCGGAACUGUACCAUGUCAAGAACUUAGUCUUCACGGAAGUUUCUUCCCUCACAGAGCAUGGUCCGCAUGGGCAGAAGUUUUCAGCCUGGUUCUCAAGGGAAAAGAAUCCCAACGGGACGUUAAGUUGAAAUAUGUAUUUUAAUAAACAAAAGACUUUUAUAUUAUGAUACCAGUUACAGCUCGCUUCUCUAACCUCAUUUGUCGAUUAAGAAAAUUUCAAUUGGCACUCCCCAAAAGUAAUUGUGUGCGCUAAAAAAUAACCAAGUUUGGAAUGAUACUCACAAAAUGAAUGUAGAGAGCUCAAAAAUGACGGUCUGGGAGUGCCAAUACCAUUUUCCUUUUGAAAAAAGAGAAAACAUGAGUAAUUUAAUAAAUUUUGCAACAUACAGGUGUAUGGGACAUAAUAGGGGUUGGGAGGAGGCAGCAUCAAUGUUGACAGGUGCCUCCAUAGAACUGAAGACUUGCAACGCUGCUUUGCUUGAAACUACUGGGAAAUCUUGGGAUGAGGUUGGUCUCUUUCAUUCUGUUAUUGUUUUAACUUUUGUACUUGAGUACUUCCCUUUUACAUGCUAUAUAUCAACUUAUUGUGCAUGCUUAACAUAAUAAUCUGUGGAAAUUAUAACUUUGACGUUGCAACACACACGGCCACAUUAAUGUAGAGCCGGAGGAUAUUCUAAGUUGCUCUUCCCUCAUCAUAAUUUUCUUGAAGAAUAAAAUGUUAGGAGGGGUAAUCAGCAAGUGAGAGGAAGCAGAUCUUUUAGGCCCAAUUUGGUUCAUGACUGAAAUAUAAUUUCGAACUUAACCUCCAUUUUUUAAAGUUGGUUUUGAAUUCGGGGUCUAAAUUUUUUGAAAUUGCUUGAUAUUGCAUAUGACAAUUGGUUUUAUUGUCUGCCGUUUCCAAAAUACAUAUCCAGAAUUUCUUUAUGUUACAUACAAUUCAACCAAUUGGUCAUACCCUCAGAAAAUGUUUGGUAUUGAAUAUGAAAAUUGGCCAAUGUCCCUCAGAAGAAAGACAGCAAAAAUUCAACAAAUUGGUCAUGAGAAUAUUGGUACCUCCGAACUAAGAAUAUAAUACCUUGUUUGCAGCGAGCAUUCAUGCCUACCAAAGACUUUUGAGAGAGCUCUUAAGCCGAGUCUUUGGACAUUGACACUUGUCCAGAAAUAGUGACCUAAACCUCAAACAUACUGUACACUUGUGUCCUAGGAUAUUCUAUCCUUAGCAGUUAGUACUGAUGCCUAAAGCCUAAUAGAAAUUUUCGAGUCUUUUGACACUUGAUUAAAUUUUUAUUUUUUUUAAAAAGAAAGUCUAAGAUCAUUAUCUCCAACCUGAAGUUAAGGACUUCUCCAUGCUACUUUCCUUUUUCCUCCUAUAGUGAUUUAUGUGACAAGACAAGCAAAGGUUGACAGGUAUUGCACACUCUCAUAUAAUUGUCUAUAUCUUGUAUGAGUGUGUUCUGAUUUGCAUAUGUUCAUUGCUCCAGUCAAAUUUCAUUGAAUGGAUCUACUAGAAUGAGUAUUAUAUAGCGUUUGUUGCAUCUGUUUUGGCCAUACUAUUUUGGUGUAAAGUCUCUUUUGAAUUAUCUUUCAUAAUGAAGAUGGUGUCUUCUUAUUGCAGGCAUUUGCUUUGGCAGGACAUGGGGGGUGGAAACUGCAAGGCAUUGUGAAACCAAGUUAGCCUAUAAGAGCCCCGACUUCUAACACAUUCAUACUAGUAGAAACUUUGCAAGGUAGGCAGGAGCCAGGAAGCACGGUUGCCAUCUGAUACGGAAGUUAUCCACGGUGGCUUUUCAGUGGCCAAAGAUUGUUACAUUUGUUAACGAUAAAAGUUUUGUGAUUUGUAUAUUCACUGAUAGGUAAAUGUAGGUCUCAUUUUGUUCAAUAUAAAUGAUAUACGUGAGAUUCCCUGUGGAAUCUCUUUCCUAAACCCUAAAUCCGAGAUUCCAACUAGAUUAUACUGUAUCUGCAAAAAUUAUUGAAAUUAGGAAAUCGUAGAAUUAUUAUGAAUUAUCGUGACAUUUUUUUUUUCUUGGAUGGAAAUGUCAGUUAUUUAGUUGGAAUCUAAAGUUCAACCUGUCUCUGCAGGCUUGUUUAAUAGCUGAGCAGGGCAUUUUAGAAGAGCUGCAGCUUGCUGGCUUUACCUCUCUUGGUGGCCAUGUAAGCUCAUUGUUGAAAUUAAUUUCAGACAUUUAAUUUCCACAUGAAAUUCAUCAUUUACUGACGCGAAACAGGGAGGGGUUAGAUGUGGUCUGGUAUGGGUCCCAACCAAAUUCGAGGAGAAACCAACGGAAAUCUUGAACAAUUAGUCAUGGAAAAACUGGAAAGCAUGAUAGGUGAAGAAGUGAAAUAAUCCGUGCCUCACACACGGGCCGAAGACUAGUUAGGUAGCUGGGCCUUACAAGCCAGUGCGGGCCCAUUGUUUAUGCACCCCCCUCCUCCUUUGUUAGGGGACCGAGGGAAGUCACUCCGAAAGCGCCGCUGUGUUAAAAUGCUGGUUGCACUUAGAAGGCGGCUAUGCUCUUCCGUCUCCUCUAUUGAGUUGAUCAAAGUUUAUACGGCAAGUAGAAGUAUUGGCUCUAGUAGUUGUACCGAUGUGGCAGCUAAUGUUGCACAAGAUUGUUCCUCACCUGAGUCUAAAAUUGAGAAUGGGCCGUUCGCCUCCCCACCCGUCAGGAAUAUACUCAGACGACGACGUUUAGGUAUUCGGAGGAGCAGGAGCACAAGGGAUACGGAUGCCAUAGAGCUGGCAUUGGACUCAGUCGUGAAGAUUUUUACUGUGGCGAGCAGCCCUAACUACUUCCUGCCCUGGCAGAACAAGUCCCAACGAGAGACCAUGGGUUCCGGUAAUCUACUCUCAUUUCUCUUGUUUUUGUUAAAUUUUUAUUUAUCUAAACCUUAUUUUGGAUUAACUAAAUCAUAUACUGCCUUUAGUUUUACUUGCAUAAUCCACUCUUACUCGGAGAUAUUAUUAUUAUCCAGGGUUUGUAAUUGCUGGCAACAAAAUUCUUACAAAUGCUCAUGUAGUUGCUGAUCAUACCUUUGUACUUGUAAGAAAGCAUGGCUCUCCUACCAAGCAUAAAGCGCAAGUUGAAGCUGUUGGUCAUGAAUGUGAUUUAGCCAUUUUAAGUGUUGAAAGUGAUAAGUUCUGGGAGGGUAUGAAUCCCCUUGAGCUAGGAGAUAUUCCUUUACUGCAAGAAGCCGUUGCUGUUGUUGGAUAUCCUCAAGGUAUCAAUGAAAUUACUAUUACCACUCUGUUUAUUUUAUAUCAGAUCCAAUUAAUAGAACAGUGAACUGAAAAAAUGAAGUUAAACGAAACACAGAAUUCGUUUCAGUGUUUAGAACCAUAUCCUAUCAGAACAUAACAGAACAGUUCUGAUCAAUAAAUAGUAUUUUAUAAUCUAUUCCUCAUUUUCUUCAUACUGCAGACAUAUCCAUUCAUGUCUCUCGUAUGUACAAUUUACUUCAGUCCAUCUUCUACAUUAUCUACACCAAGUCCACGAAUUGCCAGUUAACGCUACCUUAUGCACACCUGUAGAAGGAAUGUUUUACUCUACCAUAGGCUAUCAAAUGGCUUUAUGAGGAAAUAAUCAUCUGAUAACAUUGUUACGUUUUCUUUCUUUUUUUAAUGCACGAUCAUGUAUAAUCAUCACUUUAAGAUGGGAGUGGAAGAUUAUUUAUGCUUCAAAAAUUAAACAAUUCAAUUGGAUUCUUUCUAGCAACUAAUUCUGAUAAUACUCUUAGUACAGUUUUAUUUGCUUUUUUUUUUUUCCCUACUAGAGAGUGUCUGCAUUAAAAUUUUAUCAGUUGGAACUGGUAUGCAAGAGAAAUAUAUUAGUUUUGGGCCUUUGGCCUUGAUGAACUAAUGAACUGCCAAUAAUUUAUAAAAUAAUAAAUCGUCCACAAUAUUUAUAGAGAGACGAAUUCUUUCAAUAAUCAAAUUCAUUUUAUGGUCAAUUCUGUUAAGAGUUCAAUUUUUCUGAAUCAUCAAAAGAUGAAGACUCAUUUCUCCCUUCUGACGUCUUUUUCAUGUAUUUAUUUUUGAUGCGGGUCUUUAGAAGGUUCAAACUCUCAUAUACAUGCUGCUGUCAUGAUAGUAGAAUAACACAUGACGAAGAAGUGUUCUGGUCUCUAGUAACAAAUACUUUCAGCUUUCUACAUUGAGAAUGGUCGCGGAUUAUACAGAUUGGAUCCUCAUGGCUGUUCUGCUACUGAAAUUAAAUCUUUGUUGCAGGAAACAUGAAAUAAGACUCAUUAAACACAGCUACUUGACGAUAAAUUUAAACAAUUAAUUGUUUUCCCAAUGAUGCCACAACUGUUUUUUUUUUCUAUUCUUUUUUCCAUUAUAUGAUUGAAUGAACGCUUUUGCUUCUCUCAAUAUUAUCUUGAACAUUUGCUUCUUUACUUUAUUUUCCUUGUGUGUGCCUUUAUCUAGGCAAUCAGUAUAAGAUCCAGCCUGAAUUUUUUCUUUCAAUGACUUAAUAGGGAAAGCAUGGUGUACGCAGGAAAAGUUUGUAGAAUUAAUUAAUGCUUUGGUUUUGGCCACAGGUGGGGACAACAUCUCUGUUACUAAGGGCGUUGUUUCCAGGGUUGAACCUACACAAUAUGUUCAUGGUGCAACCCAGCUUAUGGCAAUACAGAUUGAUGCAGCAAUAAAUCCGGGGAAUAGUGGUGGCCCAGCAAUCAUGGGAAGUAAAGUUGCUGGUGUUGCUUUUCAAAACCUUUCUGGUGCAGAGAAUAUUGGGUGAGUCAUAUUCUGGUUCAGAUUGCCAGUUAUGAUUUUCAUAGCAGUUUAGGGUAGGUUUACUUUUACAAUCAUUACCUUUAGCUGAACAUGUUGAUUAUUCUGUGGCAGCAAACAACACAAAUACUACUUUGGCCCUCAUGACUUGAUCUUUGUCUUAAAUCUGAAAUUAAUCAAAGAUCUGUAGCCUAUAAAUGAUGCAUUAUUCCACUUGUCUAUUUGAAUUUCUUAUUUCAAAUAGAGGCAUAAAUUCAUUACCUAGAUCUUUUAGUCUAAUUUAAGCAUUUGCUUCCUGGAACCUUGUUAUUGUGUUAGGGUAUUGUUCAUUUCGGCUAACACUUUAUCUUCCUUUGUUGGACUUUCCAGUUAUAUAAUUCCUGUUCCUGUAAUAAAGCAUUUUAUUGCUGGAGUUGAAGAAAGAGGUAAAUAUGUUGGAUUCUGCUCUCUAGGUUUGUCAUGCCAGCCUACUGAAAAUGUUCAACUCCGGAACCACUUUCGCAUGAAUCCUGAAAUGACUGGGGUACUAGUGAGCAAAAUCAACCCUCUUUCGGAUGCCCACAAAGUCUUAAAGAAAGAUGAUAUUGUCCUUGUCUUUGAUGGAGUCCCUGUAGCCAAUGAUGGAACAGGUUGUCACUGACUAUCGGUACCACAAUAACUUUUUUUCUUUUGUAUGGGUCUGGUUCAUGCUGUACCGAAAGUAAUGUCACUGUCAACUAAAAGUCACGCUGCCAAUGUUAUGCAUCAUUUGCAUUGUCUGACGUGUUGCUUCCAACCAAACAGUUCCCUGAGUUACAAAGUCACUGUUAUGAGGAGUGUGGUUUCUAGGAUCUACUAAUAAAAGACUUGUACAGAGAUACUAUUAAACAAGCAAAUCUACUUGAAAAACAUUUUCAAAUAGGGACUUAUUAUCAUGUUCAGUUAGGUAUUAAGAAAACAACAUACAAGUAUCAGCAGGUGGUGUCACUAGGGAAGGAUCUCCAACAUGUUCAUUAGGUUGGACAAGGCUUUAUUUUUUAUUUAGAAUUAAAUUCAGUUUACCCCCUUGUGGUUUGGGGGUGACUUCAUGUGAGUCCCUACACUUUUAUUUUCAUCAGUUUACCCCUUGAACUCUUCAAUUUCUGUCUGCCGUGCCCAAAUUCUCAUAUUCCGUUUGAAUUGACCUUUAGUUAUCAACAGUUAAGGUUCGAUUUGGACAUAUAAGGUCCGAUUUGCCCAAAUUCUAGAUACUAGCCUCACAGUUAUGGUUAAAAUUAUCAGUAGUUAACGUCCGAUUUGGACAGAAUAUAGGACAUUUGGUCACGCUCGAGGAAAAUUCAAAAGUUUGAGGGGUAAACUGAUGAAAUUGAAAGUAUAGGGAUUAACAUGAAGUUACUCUCAAACUUCAUGGGGGUAAACUGAAUUUAAUUCUUUUAUUUAAUGUAAAAUAUCAUGAUCUUAUGAACACACUGUUCAUUGUUAGCAUGCCGGAGAAUCUUUUCUUUUGUUUUCAGUUAUUUGUUUUUCUUUUCAUGAUUGUAAUCUUUAGUAUGAUUUCAACACAAUGCAGUUCACUUCAGGAACAGAGAGCGGAUAACAUUUGAUCAUUUGGUUUCCAUGAAGAAACCCAAUGAAACAGCUGUAGUUAGAGUUCUGAGGGAUGGCAAAGAAUAUGAAUUCAGUAUCACCCUUCAACCUGUAAGUCACGGAACUAUUGUUGCAUGCUUACUUGAUUUAGUGUGUUUUCUAUUAUGAAGAGUAAGUAUAAGCUCGGCGUCCUGUGGAGUUGCAUUAAAUUUUUAUUAUUUUUAUUUAUAUUUUCUCUCAUGCAACUUAAAUAGACUGACUAAUUUGUUUAGGAAAAGAAAAACUUUUUUGAAACAAAAAUGUCAAGAAAUUUAUGUACCAUAUCAUUUAUCCAACAGCUGUUAGCCUGGCCAUGGUGAGAGUGGAUGCUGAUUAGUUGGUAUUAUAAGUGCAACAAAAAUGGAAAGUUGGUUGUUCACUUGCUUGUAAACUCUCUUCAUUUGAGAUAUGUUCUGUUUAAAAUGUUUAUUGUUUGGUGUUCCCUACUUUGUAUAUUCUGGCUGAACUUUAUGGUGGUUGGGAAAGAUUUUAAGGAACUCAAGUGUGGUCAAGAACGUGGGGAUUCACAAAACAAUAUCAGGAUGGUGUUCCAUAGAUCUCAGUUUGUCUUAAUAAGUUAAUUAGAUACUUGUACAUGUGAUCUUUGUUAGAUUAUGUCAUGAUUGAUUGUUCCUUAGAGUUAUAGAUGUCCUGAUUUGGUCAUUUACCUUGUGACACUUGUGGUAUCCAGCUUCUUGUCUAUUUCGUCACUCUUUGCUAUGUUUCAAAUGAAGUUCAUUGUUUGUACUAAUAAAGGAGACAAAAGCAACAGAAGAUUGGUGAUAUUUGACACUAGCCAGUUUCAGAAAACAAUAUUAUUAUUAUUAUUAUUAUUAUUAUUAUUUUGUAAACUCACUGUAGUAAAUGCAACCAAAUGGAUUGUGUUAUGCUGUCAUUAUGCAUUUUGGAUUUAGCUUUUAUGCUUAUAAAUGCUUCGACUUCCAUCUUCUUGCACUAGUAAUGAAGAUGACAUAAGAAUUUAAAAAAAUUAAGAUGACAUAAAAAGAUUAGUUGUUUGAUCAGUAAUGAAGAUCUUCUUUCCCAUGCAAUUUAUAGUUACUUUAUGGUUUUAUUAUCAUAUGUUCAAUUAUGCAGUUACAACCAUUAUUUCCAAGUUCACCAGUUCUUAAAAAUAAAAACCAUUUGUUCCAGUUUACCAGUUCAAUUAUCUUCCUAGUUCAUCAGUUACUUUAUUGUGAACUCACUAAAGUAUUAACGUAACUGUAUGAAUUGUGUUGUGAUGUCAUUAUAAAUUUUUGAUUUAGCUUUUAUACAUGUAAAUGCUUGAACUCCCUCUUCUUGCUUGGCUAACGAAGAUGACAUAUAAACAGUUGAGUGGUUGUUUCAUCAGCAAUGAAGAUCUUCUUCCCCAUGCAAUUUAUAGUUACUUUAUGGUUUUAUUUAUUAUAUAUUCAAUUAUGCAGUUACAACCAUUAGUUCCAGUUCAUCAGUUCGAUAAAGUUCCUAGUUAUUACAUUUUUGCCGGUUUGGUCUUUGUUCCACUCACUCAACCUUACCUUCAUGAGUAUGGAGAAGACUGGUAUAAUACUUCACCUCGUAAAUUGUGCGAAAUUGCGCUGAGGGAAUCACCUAAAAGAGCUGGUGAACAAUUUGUCAUCCUAUCUCAGGUCUGCUAUAGUUUUUGUUAUUACUUUUUAUAUUUAUGUUUGUUAUUUUAGUGUUAAAGCAGUACUUUUGUAUGUUUGUUUCACUACUAUGGGUGUGGCUAUUGUCAUCCCCUACUGUAUACUUAUCUCACCCUACAUAUGUUUUAAUUAUUAAAAUGCUAUAUUGCCCUAAUGCAAAAUGACUGAUAAAGGCAGUAAAAUGGAUCAUCAUAUGCUUUAAUUAAUAUAAACAUAUUAGCUAUUGGAAUUUCAUUUUUAUUAUAUUCUAUUAGAAUUUCAUCUUCUCAACACAGAAAACCCAGAUCUCAAUUUUCUCUAAUUUCUUCAGUCUCUAUGUUUGCUUCCUAUGCCUCAAAACUUCAAUUCAAGACAAAAUCAAUUCAAUUUACAACGCAUUACUAUACUUAUAUAAUUAAUUAAUUGAUAAAUACAAUUCCUGAUUUAUAUAAACUAGUGGAUACUCAAUAUCAUUGAUUCCUCUCUAAAACAUUCAAAGAGGUAGAAUUUAGGUUCAUAUAGCUCAUCACUUUGGGUGUGGAAUCGAGCUAUUAGAUUCAACUUUGGAACUGAUGAUGCUAUGAAUCUAAAGUCUUCAUCUCUGCAACACCCAAAUAUUAUAAAAAAGAAAAGAAAUCAGCAUCAUCCUCUUCCUUCAUUGAACUGAGUUUGACCUAUAUAGAUCACUCUUUUACCACAAUACCAUAAAUUUUGUUCUUUCCAUUUUCUAACUUUGGUAAUUUAUCUACUUUAGUGUAAGCCUAAUAAUCUUCUGGAUUUGGAUCCAGUUCCCAGAUAGACAUUUUUGUUAACAGGGAUCGAUCCCACAACAUGAGAACUCACUAUUAAAAGAACAACAACAUAAGAACUCAAAAUAAGUAGUACUUUAGCAACCAUAUAAAGGAGCUCGUCCUCAAAAUACAUAACCGAAAUUGAAAAAGACAGUAACUUUUGUAAAGUACUGUUGCUUUAAACUUUUUUUUGAUUAUGUUAUGAUAAUUUUAACUUUGGUAAAAGAACGAUUUAAAUUUUCCAUGGAUACACUUUAUAAAAUGCUUAUGUUAAAAAAACAUGGAUACAUUAGAAUACAUGACUAUCUGUUAUUACUUUAUAAAAUGCUUAUGUUAAGAAAACAUGGAUACAUUAGAAUACAUGACAAUCUGUUAUUACUUGUUUUGUAUUCAUAAAUUCCUCAUUGUGUUGACCGUGUACACACAUGGAUGUAGAUGUGUCAAUGUGUCAUGCUUGUUUUCAAAUAAAAAUCCUAAUUAUGAAAAAAAGAAAAAAUCGACAUGAAAAGAUAGGAAAAUAUUGAAAGAGGUUAUUGGGAAAGAUUAAUUACCAUUGUUCUAAUGAAUUGCGGCUGUAUGUCCUAUAUUAAUUAGCAGAACUCUUUUUCAAUCAGCUAGAUGGGGAAAUUUGAAUUGUAGUUUUCAUUGGUUCAGGUACUCAUGGAUGAUAUCAAUGCUGGAUAUGAACGUCUUGCUGAGCUACAGGUAUGAGCAAAUCUCUCAGUUACUGCAACAGCUGUUAUAUCACUUAGUUUUAGUGUUCAUUGUUAUUAUAAAUGUUUCCUGAGGUUAAAGCAUACCACAGAAGAUGAGAACUUACUGAUGCACUUUUUAAUGUAUGGUGGCAGGUUAAGAAGGUUAAUGGGAAAGAAGUUGAAAAUUUGAAACAUUUAUGCCA
rnacentral:lncRNA from 1 species